GGAAGGUGGAGGUCAUAAUGGUACUUCACCCUAAACACUCCUGAUUUCUUCUACAGGUGUUAGCUUGUUUAAUAAAGUGAAUUUACUAAUACUGACUAAGCUCCACACUUGUGAUUUAUUUUGCCAUUCAUUUAUAUUUUAUAUAGGCCUACUCACAUUGUAUAGCUUCUUGUACGUGCAGGUAAGCACACACCAGUUAUGUUGAACGUGCAAAAACUACUAAAUAUAGUAACAAACACAUGCAGGUGUUUUGUUUCUAUAUCAGUCUUUGUACCUACAGCAAAUUCGAUGCUAUCUGUAUCAUGCAUUUACAUAUCCACUUGACAACCAGUGGCAUUUACCACCGGCCAUAUGCGCAAAGAUACGUUGUCUUUGUCCCUGGUGAAUCUUAUUUUGGGUACAUAGUUGACGCUUUCCUGAGGGCUGAACUUUGCCCACACCCUCCUCAUACACUGCCAGCACUCGUUAACUCUGUGUCCUCAUCGUUGUCUCACAUCUCUCCGCGGAGGCGUGCCCACGCCGCUCAAAUACAGCGCUACAGACGCGCGCCUUACUCAUUCGGUUUGUCAGAGCGUACAUUGAGGCAAGCAGAUCCGCGCUUCCCACGCCCAGGAGAACAUGCGUUUGUCUCGAACCAUAUCCACUCCCGACAUUGUGAAACAGCGCGUUCGUCUUAGUAUAUCGUGAAGCGCCACGACCGCUACAAUUUCGAUUUUGGUGAAAAAAGUUUUACGACGGCUUGGACGUCUACUUUCCAUUUAGCUGUUUGUGGAGGACGCAUGAUUGACCUGUGCCGGACCAAAAGCGAAGAUUGCAUGAAAGAUCUCAAGGCUAUACUCAGCUGCGCCACACUGGGAGGCUUACUGGAUAAGCAGAAGCAUCCCUGUGACUCCAAAAAAGUGCCUCCGCUUCUGUCUUCUCCCAUGAUGGCCCUGGCCUCCUUCCAUCUGAUGCAAACUCUAAAAAACUCUCCAGCGGCUCUGCGUCGGCGAUUCUGUCGUGACCGCACAGAGAGCCUGUCUCACGGCGAUCCCCUCUUCAAAGUGCACUACCUUGGCACCAAGAAGAUCUUCUCCCUGGACUUAGAGCAGGCGGAGGAUGCCAUCGAUCAACUCCUGGAUGGGGCGCCUGGGAAGCUUUCUAAAGAUCAUGCCAUGGUAGUGCGACCGCGAUACGUAGAAGUUAAAGAACUAAGCACUGGAAGACAGCUCACCAAGACCUACUUGCAGGAUAUCGCAUACUGUGCUUCGCACACGGCCAGACCCAAUGUGUUUCUGUAUAUCUGCAGGCAGCCCGGUCAGCAGCUACAAUGCAGAGUGUUCUGGUGCAGUCGGGCAGAAAGGGCAAAGGACAUGACUGCCUGCCUAGCAAUGUCAUUUCAGCAAGCGCUCAACGACUGGCAGGGUGGAUGUGCCAAGUUGCCGCAAGGGGAAGGAAUCACUAAAGAGCCAGAGAUUCCUGGAACGCCCACUGCACCCAAAGGGUCAACAUUGCCAGCUAGUUUGGGAAAAGUCCGUUGGAAAAAGAGGGGGUCGGUGUCCCGCAGUCCUCUCCGUGCCAUUUCCAGAAGAGGUUCUGACAGCGACAACUGGCACUGAUGUUUCCCAUCCCACCCUGAUUAUCGACAACAUUCAUUUUGGGAUGCUUGUGAAUUUCCAGCGUUGAAUGUGAGGAAAAAAACAACCACACCUACAGCUGAUGGAAUUUUUGAGCUUUGAUAAGAGUUUGCAACUCAAGUGCAGAGUCUGUUUCUGAACAGCCACCGCAUUUGACUUUACCAAAGUGAUAAAAAAUAGAUUUCUAGAGAUCAUUGUUUGGUUUAGGAAAUUGAUAGGUUCAGUCACGCUGGUUUAAAUUUCAUCUCAGUUUGCUUAAGGACUAUGAGACAAUACCAAAGCUGCUCAUCUGAGCUGAACUGGUGUCUAGUUUUAAAGCCAUGUAUGUAUCACAGAGUUGAGUUUUUCAAGUCAGUGUACAGUACAUGUCUGGGUAGUUUGCUGAUGUGACUGAUGAGCAGUGAGACAGUUUUUGUUUGUAUUAGAGGUGUCAGAUGAGGAUCUGUGUGGAAAGUGGGUGGAUGCAUGAUAGUAAACAGUAGCAGGACCAGGACAUCAAAGUAAUUGCCUUGGAAAACUGUUUUGGCCAAAACCUCCACAUAUUGUUACUGAUGAUUGAAUUAAUAUUACACCCUCAAUGUGACCAUGUUGUAUUAUUUACUGCAUAUUUGUAUACCAACUUGACAAUCAGCACUGGUUGUAAUUUAGCAUUGGAAAGACAGAGGUACUGAUUCUUGUUUCUGGUUGGUCUAUUAUAGCCAUAUCCUGCUUUGCCUGGUUUUACCUCAGUUUGCCAUUUUUUAAAAUGUUUUUAAUUCAUAAUUUGAGUUGUUCAAGCUUUGAACUUGAAGCAUAGGUUCCAAACAGAUAAAGAGGAACAGAGUUAAUGCUGUUAAUUGCUGUUUUCUCUUAAAAUGAGAAUAUUUUCUCCAAGCACCUGCAUUCCAGCAGUUUUUUUUUUAGGCUUUUUUUUCUGUAACUGCAAGUUGUUUCACUACAUCAGCCCAUUUUUGUCUAAAAAGAAAAAAGCCAAGUAAGUAAC
ensembl:lncRNA